CAGUAGCGUAUAUUAAAGUUGUUGCAGUUAAAAUGCUCGUAGUUGAAGUUCGGAUGCAGCAGAGCUUGGAAACGCUGUUAUGGUGCUUCCGUUGCUUUUGCUUGUCCACAGUGCGUUGCAAGUACGUAUGUGCUUGUGCGUGCAUUUUACUUUGAGAAACAUAGGGUGUUCCACGCAUGUUACGGCAUGAAUAUUCCAGCAUGGGAUAAUCUGGUACGACUUCCAAUCUGCCAUUUUGGUUCGUAGGUUGGAAGUAAUGAUUAAUAGGGACUGUCGGGGGCAUUGGUAUUUGACUGUCAGAGGUGAAAUUCUUAGAUUUGUUGAGGACCAACCACUGCGAAAGCAUUUGUCAAGGAUGUCUCCAUUAA
rnacentral:rRNA from 1 species